rnacentral:rRNA from 1 species
GGGUUGUGAGGUUAAGCGACUAAGCGUACACGGUGGAUGCCCUGGCAGUCAGAGGCGAUGAAGGACGUGCUAAUCUGCGAAAAGCGUCGGUAAGGUGAUAUGAACCGUUACAGCCGGCGAUGUCCGAAUGGGGAAACCCAGUGCAAUUCGUUGCACUAUCGUUAACUGAAUACAUAGGUUAACGAGGCGAACCGGGGGAACUGAAACAUCUAAGUACCCCGAGGAAAAGAAAUCAACCGAGAUUCCCCCAGUAGCGGCGAGCGAACGGGGAGCAGCCCAGAGUCUGAAUCAGCUUGUGUGUUAGUGGAACGGUCUGGAAAGUCCGACGGUACAGGGUGAUAGUCCCGUACACCAAAAUGCACAGGUUGUGAACUCGAAGAGUAGGGCGGGACACGUGGUAUCCUGUCUGAAUAUGGGGGGACCAUCCUCCAAGGCUAAAUACUCCUGACUGACCGAUAGUGAACCAGUACCGUGAGGGAAAGGCGAAAAGAACCCCGGCGAGGGGAGUGAAAAAGAACCUGAAACCGUGUACGUACAAGCAGUGGGAGCACCUUCGGGUGUGACUGCGUACCUUUUGUAUAAUGGGUCAGCGACUUAUAUUCUGUAGCAAGGUUAACCGUAUAGGGGAGCCGCAGGGAAACCGAGUCUUAACUGGGCGUUAAGUUGCAGGGUAUAGACCCGAAACCCGGUGAUCUAGCCAUGGGCAGGUUGAAGGUUGGGUAACACUAACUGGAGGACCGAACCGACUAAUGUUGAAAAAUUAGCGGAUGACUUGUGGCUGGGGGUGAAAGGCCAAUCAAACCGGGAGAUAGCUGGUUCUCCCCGAAAGCUAUUUAGGUAGCGCCUCGUGAA